rnacentral:rRNA from 1 species
GUCGAACGAGACCUUCGGGUCUAGUGGCGCACGGGUGCGUAACGCCUGUGAAUCUACCCUUUGCUACGGAAUAACUCAGAGAAAUUUCUUUUAAUACCGUAUGAUGUCGAAAGACCAAAGAUUUAUCGGCAAAGGACGAGCCCGCGUAGGAUUAGCUAGUUGUUGUGGUAAAGGCGCACCAAGGCGACGAUCCUUAGCUGGUCUGAGAGGAUGAUCAGCCACACUGGGACUGAGACACGGCCCAGACUCCUACGGGAGGCAGCAGUGGGGAAUAUUGGACAAUGGGCGAAAGCCUGAUCCAGCAAUGCCGCGUGAGUGAUGAAGGCCUUAGGGUUGUAAAGCUCUUUUACCAGGGAUGAUAAUGACAGUACCUGGAGAAUAAGCUCCGGCUAACUCCGUGCCAGCAGCCGCGGUAAUACGGAGGGAGCUAGCGUUGUUCGGAAUUACUGGGCGUAAAGCGUACGUAGGCGGUUAUUCAAGUCAGGGGUGAAAGCCUGGAGCUCAACUCCAGAACUGCCCUUGAAACUAGAUAACUAGAAUCUUGGAGAGGUGAGUGGAAUUCCGAGUGUAGAGGUGAAAUUCGUAGAUAUUCGGAAGAACACCAGUGGCGAAGGCGACUCACUGGACAAGUAUUGACGCUGAGGUACGAAAGCGUGGGGAGCAAA